CCUCGGCCCUGCAUUCAGAUGGUACUCCUGCUGUGUUCCAUGAGCUGUGACCUCCAUGAAUGUUACUUGCCUUGCUGCCUUACUCCGGGGUGAGAGUGGGGCUCCUCUGCCGCAAACCGCACUCGCCCAUUGCUCACGCUCCCUGUGGAAAGCUCUUAACGACUUCUGUCAUGUCUGUGUGCUCCCUCUCUAGUAAGCACUGAAAGCAAAAACUCCAGGCCAAAGGCUCCUGGAAGGAGGUUGUCAGGGAACCAUGAGGAUGAGUAAGACGGUCUAUCCUCUGCAGAAUGAGUGAGGUGGUCUAUCCUACCACCACAGGCAUAAAAGCAAUAGGCCAAUUGAUCCUGGACCUCCAUUGGCCUCCAAGCCAUGACCCCCAGAUAACUGCUUUUCUUGAGUUAGCGGUCAAAGCUGCAAAAACAAACAAACAAGGAACAACAUUCUCAGACAAGCCAAACUGCCAAGACUCUGAAGCCAGACCAGCUGCCUGGAAGAAGCAGAAACCAGCUGAUCUGCCCUGAAGAGGUUUAGACCAACUAAGUCACUUAGAAAGGACACUCGCCCACCUGUUGAGCUGCCUGCAGGCUGUGCUGUGAGCUCCAGAGUCCCAGCUUUGUGAGCUGUCAGUCAUGUUGGGGUGGGCUUUGGUGAUGCAGCUGUCUCUGAGCUAUUUCUGUUCCUGUGAGUAAUCCCUCACCCAUCUUCCGGUAAGUCACCACAAUAAAAUCACUGG